rnacentral:lncRNA from 1 species
GAGAGAGAGAGAGAGGUCGUGUUAAUCCCUCCGGAAUGUGGGGUUGACUUAGUGAGAGAUUCUGGAUUUUUCCGAGGGAGUAAUAAAUGUUCUUCCCUGUUUUUGCGUCGUGAUUACAUAUUUUGAGAUCUGGGCUCAUUAUUACAAUCACAGCAGAGAGAGAGAUAGAGAGAGAGAGAGAGAGAUUCUUCUUCUUCUUCUUCUUCUUAUUAUCCGAGGAGACUUAUUCUAUUUGUAUAUCUCCUGAGAGCAAGACUCAAGUUGCCUCAAGAUUAGCUUGGAAUCUGUUUUGGAUGAAUUCUUCUUGAGUAAUGUGUGAAGCAGAGAAGUUUAUAUACCACAAGAAGAAGCUCUUAUUAGAGAUGAAGGUUAAGUUUCUAGGAGACAGCAAGUUGAAGAACUCCUUGGUUUCCAAGUCUCGUAUGAGCCUUUGGAUGAUCCGUGCUAUCACCAUACUGUUGCUAUGGAGUUGUUGUGUUCAUCUGGUGGCGGUGGGAGGGAUGUGGGGACCUAGAUUGUUUAAAGGCUGGCCUUCUUGUUUCAACAGUCACCAUGAUCUCCCAAUGGCUUCACAGGAAAUGACUUCUCUUCCAAUUAAAAUAGCCCUCCCUCCUAAAAGUAAGCUAGCUUUGUUUUGCUUUCUGGUUAUGUUAGCUUUGUCUGCAACACUCUUGGAAUGUCUUAAAUUUUUGUUUUGACUCUCAGGGUUAUAUCAGAACAAUGGCUAUCUUAUGGUUUCUUGCAAUGGAGGACUCAACCAAAUGCGAGCUGCGGUAAAAGAUCACAACUAAUCUAUUUGUUUUGUCAGUGAAUCUUAUAUGACUUUUUGGACUCUGUUUGCUUUUCUUCAGAUAUGUGAUAUGGUGACUAUUGCAAGAUACAUGAAUGUCACACUUAUUGUCCCAGAGCUUGACAAGACCUCUUUUUGGAAUGAUCCUAGGUAUAAUUAUUAUUCCCCAUCCAUCUCAUUCAGAGCUUCUUUUACUUCUCUUAAAAGUUGUUGAUUGGUUUCUUAUGUGGGCAGUGAGUUCAAAGACAUAUUCGACGUGGAUCACUUCAUAACUUCUCUAAGGGAUGAGGUUCGUAUCCUCAAAGAGCUUCCUCCAAGGCUUAAGAGAAGGGUUGAGCUUGGCGUUUACCACACCAUGCCUCCUAUCAGCUGGUCCAACAUGUCCUACUACCAAGACCAGAUUCUUCCACUGGUGAAGAAGCAUAAGGUCUUACAUCUGAACAAGACCGACACUCGACUUGCUAAUAAUGAACUUCCUGUUGAGGUUCAGAAGCUGAGAUGCCGAGUAAACUUCAACGGGCUUAGGUUCACUCCAAAGAUUGAGGAACUAGGUAGAAGAGUGGUCAAGAUCCUGAGGGAGAAAGGUCCCUUUCUUGUUCUCCAUCUCAGAUACGAAAUGGACAUGCUUGCAUUCUCUGGUUGCUCUCAUGGUUGCAACCGCUACGAAGAGGAAGAACUCACAAGAAUGAGGUUAUAACAACAAAAACAUUUUAUCUUGUAUUAAAAAUUUCAUCGAGGUAUUGAUGUUUAUCACUCUUUUUUUUUUUUGAUUGGUUAGAUAUGCUUAUCCAUGGUGGAAAGAGAAGGUAAUAAACUCAGAGAUGAAGAGGAAAGAAGGUCUUUGCCCAUUGACUCCAGAAGAAACAGCUCUGACUCUAUCAGCCUUGGGGAUUGACCGUAAUGUUCAGAUUUACAUAGCUGCAGGAGAGAUAUACGGUGGUAAAAGGAGGCUAAAGGCUUUAACAGACGUCUUUCCAAAUGUGGUUAGUAGUGGUUAGUAGCUUAUCGUCUGAAAUAUUCACUCAUAGUGUCAGUCACUGAUGAAUCUUUGAUUAAAAAAAAAACAGGUGAGGAAAGAAACUCUGCUGGAUUCCUCUGAUUUGAGUUUUUGUAAGAACCACUCUUCACAAAUGGCUGCUCUUGAUUACCUUAUCUCGCUAGAGAGUGAUAUCUUCGUUCCUACUUAUUAUGGGAACAUGGCCAAAGUUGUGGAAGGUCAUCGCAGGUAAAUCAUUUGUUGCUAACAAUAAUGUUUCUUUCAUCAUUGGCUAAUGCACUUAAUCAUCAUCCUCACUUCCUCAGGUUCUUGGGGUUCAAGAAGACGAUUGAGCUAAACAGGAAGUUCUUGGUCAAUCUUAUAGAUGAAUACUACCAAGGAUUAGUGAGCUGGGAAGUGUUUUCGACCAGGGUGAAGGCCUUUCACGCUACAAGAAUGGGAGGUCCCAAGAAGCGGCUUGUGAUACCGAAUAAACCGAAAGAAGAAGACUACUUCUAUGCGAAUCCUUAUGAAUGUCUUCAGCUGUUACAUGAGAAUGAUAAUAGCAAUUCACUAGAUGAAACCAUAUGAUCAGAGACACCACCAUUGUCCUACAUUAAGAUUUGGCUGGGUGAUGCAGGACAUGGAUGGGUGGAUAAUGGAGUUUAUCUAUGGGGGGAUUAUAUCAAUCUUGAGGAUGAGACUUUUAAAGAGGUUAUGUAGGGUUCUUUGGUGUAUAGAGACAUCUGAAGAGCUUCCGUGGAUGUAGAAGAAAGGUUCUGAAGACUUGUCAUUUUGGCACCAUCACCUCCUCAUCCAUGGACCUGCAGUUUUGUAGCUGAAAAAUAAACAAUGCAGUGAAUAAUUAUGUUACACAUUAUUAUAGUUAUUUGAUUAAAUAAAUAACUGUUCUAUUUCUUAUCCAUUGAUGAAUAAAUUCAGAUGAAACGGUAUGAACUCAAAAAUUAACACCAAAGGGCAAAGACUCGAGGAAUAUAUAUAUGAUUUUAUUAUUGAAACAAAAAGCUCAGAGUAUAGAUUGUAUCGGUCUUAAAUAGAACUACACACCAUCACUAUUUAAAUAAACUCUGGCAACUUUAAAACGAACUGAAUAAUCACCGGAAAGUCAGAAAAAAAAAACAAAACGGGGAAGGAAAGAAGAUAGAUGAUAUAGGUUAAGCUAAUAACCAAAACUGCGGUGAAUUUUUUUUUUUAAUCUGAUGCUCAAGCUUUGGGGGCCGGGUUAAGCUCAUCCCAAGCUUCAAUCCAGGUGACCAUAGCAUCAGCAAGCUUGUCAAAGUAAGGAUCAAUGGCGCUAAGCUUCUCCUUCACCAUCUUGGACAGUUCAAUGUAGCAUUGUUGAACCGUCACAGCUUCUUUGGAGAGCUUUGCGCUCUGGAAGAAAGGAAUGAUGUCCUCCUGCCAGAAGAUUCCCUUGUAUUCCUUCUUCAAGUUCACAAAUGGGUUGCUUGCCUUGCUGUGGUAAAUGUAGGGAAGACCUGUCUUCACUCCUAAUCCCAAAUGGUCACAGAUCACCUAAAGAACAGACCCAUAAAAGACCAGUAAGUAUUUUCAAAUACAGUCCAAGACAUUGGCGGAUGGGGGGAGUAAGUACCUUGACACACCAACCAGCCCACAUAUCGUCGUAGCGACCAAUAGGCUGACCAUCACCCAUGAGACCAAAGUACAUAGCCGGACCGAUGAGAUCACGGUCAAAGGCUAAGUUCAUACCACACAUUGGGAAAAGUGUUCCCUUUGGGAUGGUCAUUACAGCAUCCACAUACCUUCACAGUAAUGCCAUUUAAGCAUAUUGUUAGCUAAUAAAGAUUCAAGUAAAAAUGUUGAAAGAGGAUGUUAAAGUAGUACCUUGUGUUCCUUUCUUUAGGCUUGACGAGUUGGGUCGGGGCAUCGUAAUCAGGGAUGUUGAGCCAGAGACCGUGGGAAACAGCAGUGGAAACACCCUCACGGAGACUGAAAGGGUAUCCACGGACGAAGUCAGCACCUUCACGGUAGGGAUCGUACAAUGUGUUGAAGAAAAAGGGAGAGGAUGGGCAGAGAAGGUUCUUGAUGUGUUGCUCAAGUGCGUUCACAGCUUUCCCAGCUGGAUCCUUAGCAACCUAUAACACAUGACAACAACAACAACAACAACAAAAAAAAAUAUAAAAAUAAAGAAAUGAUUAUUCAAAUGCAGCCAAAGCUAGAAGGAAAAAAAGAAGACUUUACACGUGAUUAAACCAACACACUAUGAAAGCAACAUCAAUACUAGAAUCAUGGUGUAACUGAAAACUCAAUUCCUUAAACAGGGGAAUUAAAAGUUUUGGACUUUUCUUUGCCUUUGUAACAACGAUGACAUGCAAGAACCUUGUGUGACAUAACAUAGAUAUAUUGGUCCAACAACACUGUCAUCACUAAAAAUACAUACACAUAAGAGAUCAUGACCGAUUACAAUCAGUGAUCAACGAAACUGAACGAAACAAUUGCAAUUCCGAAAAAAAAAACAGAUCAAGAACCAUCCAAGCAGAAGAAUGUAUAGAUCUAGGUCAAAACAGUGUUUAAUCUACCGACAUUGUAACCAGGCCUUGCGUAGACACAACACAAUCCUUAACACACACAACAUGAAACAGAGAUCUAUAGCAUUCAGACAAAACAGAACGACCAAAAAAAAAAAAAAAAGGAGCAAACUUUGAGAAUUUGAAGGAAACUUACGAAGCAAUCGUCGUCGAUUGUGAAGAUGUAUUUCUUCUUAGACACCAUGUAGCCGAAGCAGCGACAAGCAGAGUCCUUGAAGGAAAUGCAGGAAGCUUUGGGACCGAGGAUACGGUUAAUGUCGUUCCUGUUGUAAAGCUCGUAAUCAAACCCUUCGGGAACAGCAAUGGUCUUGGAAGGAUCUCCGUCCUGGACGAUGAUGAGAUGGUAAGGCUGGAGAAAAGGUCUCCACAUCUCGAGGAAAUCGAGGUUACGGAUGGUGGGGAUCACGAUGUCGAGCUCAUCCUUCAGCAACGCAGUGUGGUUCAACGGGAUUCCAACGGUAUUCGCCGGUUCAACCAUGAUUCGAUUGAUUGAGAACUGGAGAAGAGAGAGAGAGAGAGGUUUGAUAUUGUGAUGAACUCGAAGGAGAAGACCGUCGAGUGAUUUUUAUAACAGAUCCGGCACGUGCGAGUUAUUUUGUGUGAGGUUUGACACGUGGUCGAUUAACACUUGUUCCAACUGGUCAAUAGAAGUUUUAUGGUGAGAAAGUGAAAGACUUUCUAUUCCGUGGGAGGCAAUUCUUUUUAUUCGGAAUCGCAAAUAUUAAUUUGUGUUAUUUUUAUUUUUUAUUUUCACAAAAUUAAUUUGUGUUAUUGGCUCUUAAUUCAUUGAUUACCUCUUAAUUAAUUCCAGGCGUUUAUCAUCUCCUCUUAAAAAACAAAUAUUCAGCAAAUUAAUAUAAAUUAUUAUCCAUAAUUUAAAAAUAUUAUUCAGUUCUUAUAGAACUAGAUUCCAAAACAACUUGUUUAUUAUUGAGUCCUUAGACGUGUACUUAUACAAGGUAGUCAAGCUUAAAGAUAACUCCUAAAUUAUAGGAGAUAAGCACAAGCCUAUGUUUAUCUAAACCAUAUACUUAUCCUAAUACUCCCCCCUCAAGUUGGAGUGUGAAGGUUAGUCAAACCCAACUUGGACGAUAACUCUUCAAAUUUUGCGCGCCCAAGAGCCUUUGUUAAAAUGUCUGCAACCUGAGAAUGUGUUGAGACAUGAAUUGUCUCAAUAGACUUAGCUUUGACAGCAUCUCUCACAGCGUGGCAAUCAUUCUCCACAUGUUUCGUGCGCUCGUGAAACACCGGGUUCGCAGCUAUGUGGAUUGCGGCUUUGCUGUCACAAAAGAAACGCGAUGGUCCAGGUUGUUUGAUACCCAAUCCUUCAAGAAGAUGUCACAGCCAUUUUAUUUCUUUAAGUGUAUCAGACAUGGCUCUGUAUUCUGCUUCAGCUGAAGAGUGCGAGACCGUGUCCUGCUUCUUUGUUUUCCAAGAAAUCGGUGAACCUCCAAGCAUGACGACAUAAGCGCUCAAGGAUCGACGAGAUGCAGGACACGACGACCAGUCAGCAUCGCAGUAUACAGUGAGAGAGAGAGAUCAGGGUCCGACUUGAGCAAAAUGCCUUGGCCAAUAGACCCCUUCAAGUACCGAACCACACGAAGUGCGGCGUCCCAAUGAGCUUCUUUUGGGACUUGCAUGAACUGUGUCAAGAUAUGAACAGCAUAGCUCAGUUCAGGUCGUGUGUGACAAAGAUAGAGGAGACGACCAACUAGACGACGAUACUGCUUUGGAUUUGCGAGCACCGGACUGUCAAGUUUUGGAUUAGCAAGUUGAUGGCCUUGUUCCAGUGGCGUAGCUGCAGGCUUACAGCCUAGAUUGCCUGUUUCUGAGACGAUGUCGAGAGUGUACUUGCGUUGCGAGACAAAGAAACCUUCUGGUCCUCGACUCACUUCAAGUCCUCCUUCAUAGAAAAGCAUCGACUUAGGUAGUCUUUAAACUUCUGCAACAUAUAGUUGUUGUUACCACAGAUCAGAAGAUCGUCAACGUAGAUGAGAACGUGCAUCUCGAUUCCAUUCUUGACAUAGGAGAAGAGAGAGUAGUCAUCAUAUGACUGGAUGAAACCAAAAUGAAGUAGAGAGUCAGAGAGCUUUUUAAACCAACACCUUGGAGCCUGCUUUAGUCCAUAGAGAGACUUUCGAAGACGACAGACUUUCCCUGGGUGUGUGUGACGAAAACCAAGAGUAAGAAGGAUAUAGAUUUCUUCGUCGAGAUCGCCGUGUAAGAACGCGUUGUUGAUGUCCAUUUGAAAAACUUCCCAGUUCUUUGUAGCAACUAGUCUGAGAAGAGACCGGAUCGUGGUCAUUUUGACCACAGGAGCGAAGGUGUCUGAGUAAUCCUCACCCUCGACUUGCUUACUGCCAUUAACGACGAGACGUGAUUUGUGUCUCUUGACGGUACCGUCAGCAUUAUACUUGAUGCGAUAAACCCACUGACUAGGAAUUGCGACCUUGCCGGGAGGGAGUGUAACAAUGUCCCAAGUGUGUUGCUCUUCUAGAGCAUCAACUUCCUCAAACAUCGAGUCAUUCCAGACAUCUUCCAGAGCUGCCUCAGCAAAGUGUUUUGGUUCAACUCCAGCGGUGAUAGCAGCGAGAAAAACUUGCUGUCCUGGAGAGAAGUUAGAGUCUGAAAUAAAUUCUGAAAGAGGGUAAAGUGUUGUACCUGAGGCCGUAGACGAGGACUGUGACAGGAGAGGAGAAGCGUGAUGGGUAUGUAGAACUUGAAUGUUGUAGGUAACGUAGUCUUUCAGUUUGACUGACGGAGCACACUCCCUUUGUCCUCGUCGAGUCGUAUCAGGUAAAGAGACUGACGUUGAAGCUGCAGGUGGUGAUGUCUGAGCUGUGACUGUUUCUGCUCCCGAAACAAAGGAAGCAGGUGCAGACUGUGCAGCUACAGGAGUUUCAGCCGGAGAGGACGUUGUCGUAUCUGUCGGAGAGGGUGAAGGAACUAAUGGAGGCUGAUCAAUUGGACUCCCCCUGUCUGCAACAGUCUGAUGUACAGCCCAAUCAUGGUCGGGGAUAGAAAUUGCAGGUUGUGGUGGUAUCGAUUGUUUCUCAGAGUAGGGGAAGAUAUCUUCCCGAAAUACCACGUCUCUUGAGGGAAAGAUAUCUUCCCGAAAUACCACGUCUCUUGAAAUAGUUAUUUCUUCUGUUUCCAUGUCAAACACUUUCCAGCCCUUUUUCCCAAGUACAUAGCCAAGAAACACACACACUCGACUUCUUGGAACGAACUUAUCCUUUGUCCUCGACGUUAAGUGUACGUGAAAAGCUGAACCAAAUGCACGAAGCUGACCAUAAUCUGGUUUGUGACCGUGAAGGGUUUCAUAGGGAAUGCAUCCUUGGCGGAGCUUAGAUGGGGUCCGAUUAAUGAGAUACGCCGCAGUGAGAAUUGCUUCACCCCAAAAUCUUAUCGGUAGAGAAGCUUGAAACAGCAGAGCCCUGGCAACAUUUAAGAUAUGCCUAUGCUUUCUUUCGACGCGUCCAUUUUGCUGAGGCGUUGAGACACAAGAGGUUUGAUGAAUAAUGCCAAGUUCUCGAAAGUGGUCAGAGAGGCACAUGAACUCUGUUCCGUUGUCACUGCGAACGAUCUUAACUGAUUUGUUGAAUUGCUUGUCAGCGUAUGUGAUGAAGUUUUUCAGAACUGUUUGUACCUCAGACUUUGCGAGCAUUAAGUAAGUCCACACUGCUCGUGAAUGAUUAUCAACAAUAGUGAGAAAAUAAACAGCUCCACAAGUAGAAGGAACGCGAUAUGGUCCCCAAACAUCACAGUGGAUAAGUGCAAAAAUCUCAUUUGAAUUAUUAUUGCUAUCAGAAAACACCUCUCUGGUUUGUUUGGAUAGAAAACAAAUGUCGCAAUGACGGGAACUAAUAGAACUAGAAGAAACAGAAAGCAUAGGUAAAGCCGAAACAUCAGUAAAACUUGGGUGUCCUAGACGUUGGUGCCAGAGAGCUUGAUCCGCAGAGACGUUGACACUGUGAACUUUAGCCGUGGCGACCGCUGUCAGAAAGUAUACCCCAUCACGCUCUUCACCUCUUCCAAUCAAAGUCCUCAAAAAACGGUCCUGCAAUACAUAAACCGUAUCAGUAAAGGUUGCAAAACAUCCAAUUUGCUUCAGAAUUUUAGAAACUGAUAUAAGCGUGCAGUUCAAUGAAGGCACAAGCAACAUAUUUUUCAGUGAGACUUUUUCUGAUAGAGGAAAAUCGCCCAUGCUGACAGCGAAUGUUUUAUUGCCGUCAGCAAACCCAACAGAGCACGGUGAUAUAGAGACGAUGUUAAUCAGCAAAGAGCUGUCCCCAGUCAUGUGGUGAGAAGCCCCUGUGUCGAGGAUAACAUCACCGUAUUGUUUCUUACCAGAAAGCUUGUCACUGGUGUUGGAUUUUUCGUGAAUCAUUUGAGAGAGAACACGCCAUUGGUCUUGUGUGAAAUCAGGAAAUACAGACGAGUUCGCACUAGUAGCAUGAGCCGAUGCAUUCACAGCUCUGCCACCACCACGUCCUCCCCCAUGACCUGUUCCUUUGCCACGAGAACUCUGCUUGUUGCGUUCAGUCCACCAGUCUGGAUAUCCAACGAGCUGCCAACAGUCUCGUUUUUCGUAGCCAGUGCGACCACAGUGAGAGCACAGCAUUGAUUUAUCUCGAGUGCGAAGAAUUGUAUCAGGUCUGGGUGUAGAUUGAUUGUUUGAUCUGGUGGUGACAUCCGUAGUAGUUGAUGACGCAUCUUGUUGUUGAGUGCCGCGAGUAACAAGCCCCAAAGCAUCAUGUUGGUUCUCGCGACUGCGAGCAGACGCAAUCCUCUGUUUCUCGCGAAUUGCUUUUGAGUAGACUUCCUCCAGAGUUGGCAAUGGAUCAAGCCCGAUGAUAGUUGUGCAAAGGUUGCCAUAUCGGACAUCAUCGAGUCCUAGCAGGAAGUCGUGAACUUUGUCUUCAUCUCUUUCUUUCGACAAAGUGUCUGCGACUCCGCAUGCACAAGCCGGUAGUGGCCUGAGAAGAAAGUAUUCUUCCCACAACGAGCUUAACUUGCCAAAGUAUUGAAGAACAGACUGACCAUCUUGGCGACAUGUAGAGAUUUGUCCUUUGAGCUGGUGAAGACGAACUUUGUUGUGAACAGAGAACCGCUGCUUGAGAUUGCUCCAUAAUUGAGAAGAAUCAGCUAUGAAUGUCACUGUCGAUAUGACCUUCGGUGCAAUAGAAACUCGAAUCCAGCCUACGAUCAUGGAGUUUACUGUCAUCCAAUUCUCGUAGUCAGCAUGAUCAGACGUCGGCUUUUUGAUAGUGCCAUUGAUAAACCCUGAUUUGCGUUUGGCCUGCAGAGUGUUGAGCAUCUCAGUAGACCAUUCAUUGUAAUUGUCACCGGAGAGAAGCACCGAUGUAAUGAGGGCUCCUGGAUUGUCAGAGUUAGACAAGGUGUAAGGGGAAAUCGGAGGAACAACAGAAACUUCCAUCGUGACUCAAGCACAGCACCUGUGCGUGUCUCGGCUUAGUUUGCCUUGAGACUCUAAAAAAAAAAUCAGGAUAGCUCUGAUACCAUGUAGAACUAGAUACCAAAACAACUUGUUUAUUAUUGAGUCCUUAGACGUGUACUUAUACAAGGUAGUCAAGCUUAAAGAUAACUCCUAAACUAUAGGAGAUAAGCACAAGAUAAGCACAAGCCUAUGUUUAUCUAAACCAUAUACUUAUCCUAAUAGUUCUUAAAUUAAUUUUACUAGAUAUAUAAACUAUAAACUUGUAUACAUUCUUCAUAAAUUUUUUUAUGUAAUUCACAAAGAUUUUUUUUUUUAAAAUCAAAAAUUUUAAUGAUAGAAAUCAAAAGAUUACGAUUUAUUUUUAUUUUGGUACAAUACUUUAUUGUGAAUUUUAUCAGCAGUUACAUUUAGAUAUAUUAUUUUUAGAUUUGUAUGUGCUUAUUACAUCUUUAGUUUAAAGUUUUGUCUCAAGGAAAUUACUUUUCACCUUUGAAACUUUCAGAAAUAAAACUAUUUUAAUCUAAAAUCAGUUCAUUUAUAAGAUUAUAAUUAUAAACAUCAAAUUUAUCAGAAACAAACGUAUAAGAUAAUCAUAAUAUACAAUACUAUGAGAAUGAAUGAUUGAUUAUUAGUUGCUAUCGUAAUUGUGAUAGAACAUAUUUUGUUUUGUUUAAAUUGAAGUAUAUUUAUUUGAAGUGCAUUGUAUUAGUUUUUUAAUACUUCUAUCCGUUUGAAAAUUUAGAAUAAACGAAAAGUUAAAAUAUUAGGUUUACCUAAUGCUAUAAAAGGACAUCAAUUUAAUUCAUUUGUGUUGCUAAUUGUAUCUAGCUUGACUAGUUACAUUAACAUUAAUUGUAUCUAUGUGAAUUAAAUGAUGGUAGAUAUAAAACCGAACAAGAUUUUUAUUAUUUUGAGUAGAGUGUAAUAUCAAUCCCCUAUAUAUUAUUUGUGAAACAUUACAACUUCUUUUUGUAGCCACAUGUCAUCACUACGAUGAUUCCUAGAAUUAUUAGAGAAAUAGGUUGGUCCAUCUAAUUAUAUAAUAAGCUUUUUAUUAAACUAACCAUAAAUUCAUUAUUAAUGUCAUUUAUUAUUUCCUUAAAUAAAGAUUAUGGAAUUGCCUAAUGUGGGUAGAGUAUAUAUGAUAAUUAAUGAUUUUGAAUAAUAAAGAUCUGAUAAAAAAAAUGUAUCUUCUAUCAAAUUUGUUUAAUUUAAAACUAUUAAAAUAAUUUUUAAAAAACACAAUACCCAUAUUAUAAAAAUUUAGAUUUUUUAGUAUAUUUUAUAUUUUGAAUUUUUAAAAAUGACUAUAAAUUACUAAAACUGUUAAAAGUCUCACAUUCAAAUUUUGCGAUCCAUGGUUUAAAAUUUUUGUUAUGACAAAAUACAAAUGAUUACAAAAUCAUAUAAGUAAAAGUCUAAUUUAAUUAAUCAUUAAAAUUUAAAAUAUAUAUGUAUAUAUAUCAUUCUAAAUUAAACUAUAAACCAUAUUGAAUAAAUAAAUAUUUUAGUUUCAAAAUUUACUUUGAAUAAUUUUUUUUGAUAAAAGUUUUGAACUAACAUUGAUAAAUUUUUUUAAAUUAUCAAUUACUAAAAUUAUUAAUCCCACAAUGAAAAUUUUGUUAUCAGUAAUUUAAAGUUUUUGCUAUUAAAAAUACACAUGAUAAAAAAAAACAUAUGAGUAGAAAACAUCAUUUAAAAAAAAUAAAAAAAAUAAUAGACAUUAAUAUUAAAAAUAUACUAUGUAUGUUAAUAUCAUUUAAAUUUAAUUAAAUAUCCUAUCAAAUUUUUUUUAAAAAAUGUUUGGAUUAAUAAAAUUGAUUUAUACGUUCGCACCAAUUUAAUUAUAUAUGUGAUAGUUACUGACUUUUAAUUAUUCAAUAUAUAUUUAUUAUUUCAUAAUAUGUAAGAACAUAUAAUACAUAAAAUAAUUUAUAUAUAUAAUGUUUAUCCCGCGCAAGGUGCGGAUCUUAAUCUAGUAAAUGUGUUAAUUAGCAUGCAAUUAGGCUUUAUAUACGUAAAAUAAUUAUUUUAGAACUAUAUUCUGCUUUGCGGUUAAAUGAAGGUAUAUUUGCAUAUGGGAAUCUGUAUAUCCUUUAAGUAUCUUUAAGUUGAAAUAUUUACACAAUAAGACACUUUUACACUUAUAAAUAACACUCUAAGACACUUUGUGAAAAUAUCUCCUUUAAGUUUAACAUUCGUUUUUCAGUUUUAGUCAAAAUUUGGUAUAUGAUAUUUGAAAUACAACCAUAACGAAAUUAUACAUACAGUAAUUGUGCACUAAUUCUUAUUCAACAUUAUGAUCGUCUUAUACAGCUCCAAAUAUUUUAUUGGAUACAAUAUUAUCAACUAGCAUAAAUUACUUAUUUCUACAUGUACAAAAUCAUUAAAAAUCAAUGGAAUUCGAUUUAUAAUUAUAUACGUCGUGGGCGGAUCAUGCCUCGUAAAAAUUAAACCAGAAAACACUAUAAGAAUGUAUAAUAAUCAUAGAUUAACAUUCAUAUCCAAAAAUGUAUAAUAAUUAUAUUUAGGAGGUGUUAUUCAAUCAAUGGAAUGAAAUUAAUUAUCAAUGUUUUAACAUUGCAACCCAACAAAUUUUUAAAAUUAGUUUAAAUUGGUAAAUUAAAUCUUAUUGAGAGUUAUUGGUUGAUGUAGUUUAAUGGAUUUGGAAAUCCAAACUAAAUCGAAUGUUAUUAGUUGUAUGAUUUAAAUUCAUACUGAAAUCAUGUGUUAUUGAUUUCAUGAUUAAUAAAUUGUAAUUUAAAUCAAAUGUUAUUCAAUCAUACCGAUUUACUAUUAAAUUUGAUUUCAUUGAUUUGUAUAGAUUUCUUCGUUAAAAAUACAAAAACUCAAAUCUUAAGAAAAACCUUCGGAUUUGUAAGUAGUCAGCUCUGUUGUCUUGGUAGACAUAAAGUCAACCAUCUUCUUGAUCGUAUUUUCGUUAGUGAAGACUCGACAUCCCCUAGAGCUAGCUAUUUUGAGGAAAAUUAUUUCUAAGAAGCAGUUAGCAACGACAGAAAAAUUGGUUAGAAACAUGCAAUACAUGGAUCUACGCCAAGGCAGGACACGCCCAACCAAGCAAAAAAUCUUGUCCACAGCUUCUUGUGAAUAGCUUGGGUCUCUUCUUCAAAUGUUUUCUCGUUCUCAUCUGAACCUUCAUUUUUCUUCUCAACACUACCAGAGCUAAAACAUCUCUUGUAGAAGAAGGAUAAAGAGUAAACGAUACACUUAUUCUGAUGGUCUUAUAGAACUCCAAACCUCUUUGAACAUCAUCAUAUGUUAGUGCAGAAUGCAAGUAUGAAUUAAAACAUCAUUGUCCUAUUUUUUGAAAUUUUCUCAAAAUCUAUGUGUUGAACCCUAUAAUCUUUAGAGUUGUUUUAAAAUUUUUAACCACAUUCUACAUUUAUAUUAAUGUAUUUUAAGCUCUUUUCAUGGUAUAAGGGAAUCGUUAUAAUUUUUGUAUCAAUUAAUUUAGUAAAAGUUCAUAAUACUCCCUAAAUCGAUGGAAUAACCAAUUAUAAAAUAACUAUUUUCUUGAAAAGCGGGGACAAAAAAGGCUCCAAAACCUCUUUGAACAUCUUCACAUGUUAUUGCAGGAUGCAACUAUGCAUUAAAAUAAUAUUGUCGUAUUUUUUGAAAUUUUCUCAAAAUCCAUGUGUAAAACCCCUACAAAAAUAUUGAGUUUUUGGUGACUACUUUAUAUACUUGAAGCCUAUAAUCUUUAGUGUUGUUUAAAAAUUUUAACCAUGUUCAACAUUUGUAUUAAUGUAUGAUCAACUAUUUUUUCAUGGUAAAUGAGCAUAGUUCAAUUGUUUUUAUAAUUUAAUUUAGUAAAACUUCAUAUACUCCUUAAAUUAGGGGACUAACCAUUAUAAAAUCGAUAUUAUCAAGAGAAAUAGAUAAAAAAAAUGUUCCAAACCUCUUUGACCAUCAUCAUAUAUUAGUACAAGAUGCAACUAUGCAUUAAAACAAUAUUGUCAUAUUUUUUUUAAAUUUUGUCAAAAUCUAUGUGUUAGUCCUUACCAAAAUAUUGAGUUUUUGGUAAAUACUUUAUAUACAGAAACCUAUAAUCUUUGUGGUUGUUUUAAAAUUUAUAACCAUAUUCUACAUUAGUAUAUAGUGUAUGCUAAACACUNNNNNNNNNNNNNNNNNNNNNNNNNNNNNNNNCUCAAUUGUUUUUAUAAAUUAAUUUAGUAAAACUUCAUAUACUCUCUAAAUUAGUGGAGUAACCAUUAUAAAAUUGCUAUUUUCUUAAAAAACGGAGACAACAAAGACUAUAUUCCUCUUUGAAUAUAAUCAUAUGUUAGUACAUGAUGCAAAUAUGCAUUAAAACAAUAUUUUAAUAUUUUUUGAAAUUUUGUCAAAAUCCAUGUGUUUAACCCCUACGAAAAUAUUGAGUUUUUGUUAAAUGUUUAAUAUAUUGAAGCAUAUAAUCUUUAGUGUUGUUUUAAAAUUUCGAACCACAUUCUACAUUUUUAUUAAUGUAUUCUAAUCUCUUUUUCAUGGUAUAUGUGAAUCAUUAUAACUUUUUUAUCAAUUAAUUUAGUAAAACUUCAUAAUACUCCCUAAAUCGAUGGACUAACUAUUAUAAAAUCGCUAUUCUCUAAAGAAAUGGAGACAACAAAGGUUCCAAACCUCUUUGAACAUCAUAAUAUAUUAGUCCAUGAUGCAACUAUGCAUUAAAACAAUAUAUUCGUACUUUUUGAAAUUUUCUCAAAAUCCAUGUGUUAUACCCUACGAAAAUAUUGAGUUUUUGGUAAAUGUUUUAUAUACUGAAGCAUAUAAUCUUUAGUGUUGUUUUAAAAUUUCGAACCACAUUCUACAUUUGUAUUACUUUAUUCUAAGCUCUUUUUCACGGUAUAUGAGAAUCGUUAUAACUUUUUUAUCAAUUAAUUUAGUAAAACUUCAUAAUACUCCCUAAAUCGAUGGAAUAACCACUAUAAAAUCACUAUCUUCUUGAAAAAUGGAGACAGCAAAGGCUCCAAACCUCUUUGAACAUCAUCAUAUGUUUGUGAAGGAUGCAACUAUGCAUUAAAACAAUAUUGUCGUAUUUUUUGAAAUUUUCUCAAAAUCCAUGGGCUAACCCCUACAAAAAUAUUGAGUUUUUGGUAAAUACUUUAUAUACUGAAGCCUAUAAUCUUUAGUGUUGUUUUAAAAUUUCUAACCAUAUUAUAAAUUUUUAUUAAUGUAUGCUAAACUCUUUUUCAUGGUAAAUGAGCAUCGUUCAAAUGUUUUUAUCAAUUAAUUUAGUAAAACUUCAUAAUACUCCCUAAAUCGAUGGAAUAACCACUAUAAAAUUAUUAUUUUCUUGAUAAACGGAGAGGACAAAGGCUCCAAACCUCUUUGAACAUCAUCAUAUGUUAGUGCAGGAUGCAACUAUGCAUUAAAACAAUAUUGUCAUUUUUUUUGAAAUUUUCUCAAAAUCUAUGUGUUAACACACCUACGUAAAUAUUGAGUUUUUGGUAAAUGUUUUAUAUACUGAAGCAUAUAAUCUUUAGUGUUGUUUUAAAAUUUCGAACCACAUUCUACAUUUGUAUUAAUGUAUUCUAAGCUUUUUUAAUGGUAUAUGGGAAUCAUUAUAACUUUUUAUCAAUUAAUUUAGCAAAACUUCAUAAUACAUCAUGAAUCGAUGGAAUAACCACUAUUAAAUCACUAUUUUCUGGAAAAACGGAGACAACAAAGGCUCCAAACCUCUUUGAAUAUCAUCAUAUGAUUGUGCAGUAUGCAACUAUGCAUUAAAACAAUAUUUUUGUAUUUUUUGAAAUUUUCUCAAAAUCUAUGUGUUAACCCCUACGAAAAUAUUGAGUCUUUGGUAAAUAUUUUAUAUACUGAAGCUUGUAAUCUUUAGUGUUGUUUUAAAAAUUCGAGCCAUAUUAUACAUUUGUAUUAAUGUAUUCUAAUCUCUUUUUCAUUGUAUAUGAGAAUCGUUAUAACUUCUUUAUCAAUUAAUUUAGUAAAACUUUAUAAUACUCCAUAACCAUCAUAAAAUCGCUAUUCUCUAAAGAAAUGGAGACAACAAAGGUUCCAAACCUCUUUGAACAUCAUAAUAUAUUAGUGCAUGAUGCAACUAUGCAUUAAAACAAUGUUGUCGUACUUUUUGAAAUUUUCUCAAAAUCCAUGUGUUAACCCCCUACGAAAAUAUUGAGUUUUUGGUAAAUGUUUUAUAUACUGAAGCAUAUAUUCUUUAGUGUUGUUUUAAAAUUUUGAACCACAUUCUACAUUUGUAUUACUUUAUUCUAAGCUCUUUUUCAUGGUAUAUGGGAAUCGUUAUAACUUUUUUAUCAAUUAAUUUAGUAAAAAUUCAUAAUACUCCCUAAAUCGAUGGAAUUACCACUAUAAAAUCACUAUCUUCUUGAAAAAUGGAGACAGCAAAGGCUCCAAACCUCUUUGAACAUCAUCAUAUGUUUGUGACGGAUGCAACUAUGCAUUAAAACAAUAUUGUCUUUUUUUUUGAAAUUUUCUCAAAAUCCUAACCUCCUACGAAAAUAUUGAGUUUUUGGUAAAUGUUUUAUAUACUGAAGCAUAUAAUCUUUAGUACUGUUUUAAAAUUUCAAACCACAUUCUACAAUUGUAUUAAUGUAUUCUAAGCUCUUUUUCAUGGUAUAUGAGAAUCGUUAUAACUUUUUUAUCAAUUAAUUUAGUAAAACUUCAUAAUACAUCAUAAAUCGAUGGAAUAACCACAGUAAAAUCACUAUUUUCUUGAAAAACGGAGUCAACAAAGGCUCCAAACCUCUUUGAACAUCAUCAUAUGUUUGUGCAGGAUGCAACUAUGCAUUAAAACAAUAUUGUCUUAUUUUUUGAAAUUUUCUCAAAAUCUAUGGGUUAACACCCCUACGAAAAUAUUGAGUUUUUGGUAAAUGUUUUAUAUACUGAAGCAUAUAAUCUUUAGUGUUGUUUUAAAAUUUCGAACCACAUUCUACAUUUGUAUUAAUGUAUUCUAAGCUCUUUUUAAUGGUAGAUGGGAAUCAUUAUAACUUUUUAUCAAUUACUUUAGCAAAACUUCAUAAUACAUCAUAAAUCGAUGGAAUAACCACUAUUAAAUCACUAUUUUCUUAAAAAACGGAGACAACAAAGGCUCCAAACCUCUUUGAACAUCAUCAUAUGUUUGUGCAGUAUGCAACUAUGCAUUAAAACAAUAUUUUCGUAUUUUUUGAAAUUUUCUCAAAAUCUAUGUGUUAACCCCUACGAAAAUAUUGAGUUUUUGGUAAAUAUUUUAUAUACUGAAGCCUAUAAUCUUUAGUGUUGUUUUAAAAUUUCUAGUCAUAUUAUACAUUUGUAUUAAUGUAUUCUAAGCUCUUUUUCAUAGUAUAUGGGAAUCGUUAUAACUUCUUUAUCAAUUAAUUUAGUAAAACUUUAUAAUACUCCAUAAAUCGAUGGACUAACCAUCAUAAAAUCGCUAUUCUCUAAAGAAAUGGAGACAACAAAGGCUCCAUACCUCUUUGACCAUCAUCAUAUAUUAGUACAAGAUGCAACUAUGCAUUAAAACAAUAUUGUCAUAUUUUUUUAAAUUUUGUCAAAAUCUAUGUAUUAGUCCUUACGAAAAUAUUGAGUUUUUGGUAAAUACUUUAUAUACUGAAACCUAUAAUCUUUGUGGUUGUUUUAAAAUUUAUAACCAUAUUCUACAUUAGUAUUAGUGUAUGCUCAACUAUGCACUCUUUUUCAUGGUAAAUGAACAUCGUUCAAUUUUUUUUAUAAAUUAAUUUAGUAAAACUUCAUAUACUCUCUAAAUUAGUGGAGUAACCGUUAUAAAAUCGCUAUUUUAUUGAAAAACGGAGACAACAAAGACUAUAUUCCUCUUUGAAUAUAAUCAUAUGUUAGUACAUGAUGCAAAUUUGCAUUAAAACAAUAUUUUCAUAUUUUUUGAAAUUUUCUCAAAAUCUAUGUGCUAACCCCUACGAAAAUAUUGAGUUUUUGGUAAAUGUUUUAUAUACUGAAGCCUAUAAUCUUUAGUGUUGUUUUAAAAUUUCUAACCACAUUCUACAUUUGUAUUAAUGUAUUUUAAGCUCUUUUCAUGGUAUAAGGGAAUCGUUAUAACUUUUUUAUCAAUUACUUUAGUAAAACUUCAUAAUACUCCCUAAAUCGAUGGAAUAACCGCUAUAAAAUCACUAUUUGCUUUUAAAACGGAGACAACAAAGGCUCCAAACCUUUUUGAACAUCAUCAUACGUUACUAGAGGAUGCAACUAUGCAUUAAAAAAAUAUUGUCGUAUUUUUUGAAAUUUUCUCAAAAUCUAUGUGCUAACCCCUACGAAAAUAUUGAGUUUUUGGUAAAUGUUUUAUAUACUGAAGCCUAUAAUCUUUAGUGUUGUUUUAAAAUUUCUAACCACAUUCUACAUUUGUAUUAAUGUAUUUUAAGCUCUUUUCAUGGUAUAAGGGAAUCGUUAUAACUUUUUUAUCAAUUACUUUAGUAAAACUUCAUAAUACUCCCUAAAUCGAUGGAAUAACCGCUAUAAAAUCACUAUUUGCUUUUAAAACGGAGACAACAAAGGCUCCAAACCUUUUUGAACAUCAUCAUACGUUACUAGAGGAUGCAACUAUGCAUUAAAAAAAUAUUGUCGUAUUUUUUGAAAUUUUCUCAAAAUCUAUGUGCUAACCCCUACGAAAAUAUUGAGUUUUUGGUAAAUGUUUUAUAUACUGAAGCCUAUAAUCUUUAGUGUUGUUUUAAAAUUUCUAACCACAUUCUACAUUUGUAUUAAUGUAUUUUAAGCUCUUUUCAUGGUAUAAGGGAAUCGUUAUAACUUUUUUAUCAAUUACUUUAGUAAAACUUCAUAAUACUCCCUAAAUCGAUGGAAUAACCACUAUAAAAUCACUAUUUUGUUGAAAAACGGAGACAACAAAGGCUCCAAACCUCUUUGAACAUCAUCAUACGUUACUAGAGGAUGCAACUAUGCAUUAAAACAAUAUUGUCGUAUUUUUUGAAAUUUUCUCAAAAUCUAUGUGUUAACCCCUACGAAAAUAUUGAGUUUUUGGUAAAUGUUUUAUAUACUGAAGCCUAUAAUCUUUAGUGUUGUUUUAAAAUUUCUAACCACAUUCUACAUUUGUAUUAAUGUAUUUUAAGCUCUUUUUCAUGGUAUAUGAGAAUCGUUAUAAUUUUUUUAUCAAUUAAUUUAGUAAAACUUCAUAAUACUCCCUAAAUCGAUGGAAUAACCACUAUAAAAUCACUAUUUUCUUGAAAAACGGAGACAACAAAGGCUCCAAACCUCUUUGAACAUCAUCAUAUGUUUGUGCAGGAUGCAACUAUGCAUUAAAACAAUAUUGUCGUAUUUUUUGAAAUUUUCUCAAAAUCUAUGUGUUAACACCCCUACGAAAAUAUUGAGUUUUUGGUAAAUGUUUUAUAUACUGAAGCAUAUAAUCUUUAGUGUUGUUUUAAAAUUUCGAACCACAUUCUACAUUUGUAUUAAUGUAUUCUAAGCUCUUUUUAAUGGUAGAUGGGAAUCAUUAUAACUUUUUAUCAAUUACUUUAGCAAAACUUCAUAAUACAUCUUAAAUCGAUGGAAUAACCACUAUUAAAUCACUAUUUUCUUGAAAAACGGAGACAACAAAGGCUCCAAACCUCUUUGAACAUCAUCAUAUGUUUGUGCAGGAUGCAACUAUGCAUUAAAAUAAUAUUUUCGUAUUUUUUGAAAUUUUCUCAAAAUCUAUGUGUUAACCCCUACGAAAAUAUUGAGUCUUUGGUAAAUGUUUUAUAUACUGAAGCAUAUAAUCUUUAGUGUUGUUUUAAAAAUUCGAGCCAUAUUAUACAUUUGUAUUAAUGUAUUCUAAGCUCUUUUUCAAUGUAUAUGGGAAUCGUUAUAACUUCUUUAUCAAUUAAUUUAGUAAAACUUUAUAAUACUCCAUAAAUCGAUGGACUAACCAUCAUAAAAUCGCCAUUCUCUAAAGAAAUGGAGACAACAAAGGCUCCAUACCUCUUUGAACAUCAUCAUAUGUUAGUUCAGGAUGCAACUAUGCAUUAAAACAAUAUUGUCGUAUUUUUUGAAAUUUUCUCAAAAUCUAUGUGUUAACGCCUACGAAAAAUAUUGAGUUUUUGGUAAAUGUUUUAUAUACUGAAGCCUAUAAUUUUUAAUGUUGGUUUAAAAUUUUGAACCACAUUCUACAUUUGUAUUAAUGCAUUUUAAGCUCUUUUUCAUGGUAUAUGGAAAUCGUUAUAGUUUUUUUAUCAAUUAAUUUAGUAAAACUUCAUAAUACUCCCUAAAUCGAUGGAAUAACCACUAUAAAAUCACUAUAUUCUUGAAAAACGGAGACAACAGAGGCUCCAUACCUCUUUGAACAUCAUCAUAUAUUAGUGCAGGAUGCAACUAUGCAUUAAAAAAAUAUUGUUAUAUUUUUGAAAUUUUCUCAAAAUCCAUGUGUUAAGCCCUACGAAAAUAUUAAGUUUUGGUAAAUGUUUUAUAUACUGAAGCCUAUAAUUUUUAGAGUUGUUUUAAAAUUUCGAACCACAUUCUACAUUUUGUAUUAAUUUAUUUUAAGCUCUUUUUCAUGGUAUAUUGUAAUCGUUAUAACUUUUUUAUCAAUUAAUUUAGUAAAACUUCAUAAUACUCCAUAAAUUUAUGGAAUAACCACUAUAAAAUCACUAUUUUCUUGAAAAACGGAGACAAUAAAGGCUCCAAACCUCUUUGAACAUCAUCAUAUGUUUGUGCAGGAUGCAACUAUGCAUUAAAACAAUAUUGUCGUAUUUUUUGAAUUUUUUUCAAAAUCUGUGUUACCCCCUACGAAAAUAUUGAGCAUGCCAUCAAAAGAUACAUCAAGCGCUAGACACUCCACAAACUUCAACGAAUAAACCCCACAAUUACCCCCUACGAAAAUAUUGAGUUUUUGGUAAACCUUUUAUAUACUGAAGCAUAUAAUCUUUAGUGUUGUUUUAAAAUUUCUAACCACAUUCUACAAUUGUAUUAAUGCAUUCUAAGCUCUUUUUAAUGAUAUAUAGGAAUCGUUAUAACUUUUUAUCAAUUAAUUUAACAAAACUUCAUAAUACUCCCUAAAUCAAUGGAAUAACCACUAUAAAAUCACUAUUUUCUUGAAAAACGGAAACAACAAAGGCUCCAUAACCCCUACGGAAAAUAUUGAGUUUUUGGUAAAUGUUUUAUAUACUGAAGUCUAUAAUUUUUAAUGUUGGUUUAAAAUUUUGAACCACAUUCUACAUUUGUAUUAAUGCAUUUUAAGCUCUUUUUUAUGGUAUAUGGAAAUCGUUAUAGUUUUUUUAUCAAUUAAUUUAGUAAAACUUCAUAAUACUCCCUAAAUCGAUGGAAUAACCACUAUAAAAUCGCUAUAUUCUUGAAAAACGGAGACAACAGAGGCUCCAUACCUCUUUGAACAUCAUAUGUUAGUGCAUGAUGCAACUAUGCAUUAAAACAAUAUUGUUAUAUUUUUGAAAUUUUCUUAAAAUCCAUGUGUUAACCUCUACAAAAAUAUUGAAUUUUGGUAAAUUGAUUUAUAUACUGAAGCCUAUAAUAUUUAGUGUUUUUUAAANNNNNNNNNNNNGUAACUCAGCCUCGUCUUCCUUCUUUUUCUUCUGUAACCCAGCCUCUUGUUUCUUUUGUAACUCAGCCGCUUUUCUCUUCUGUUUCUUCUCCUCGUUCUCUUUUUUCUUAGCCUCUUGCUUCUCCUUCCUCUUCAACGCAGCCUCUGCCCGCUGUGCUUUUUUCUUAUCCUCGAUAGCCUCAUCCUUUACAGUAACAGUACGCUUGGCCUUGCCCCGUAAGCCGCGUCCAUAGGCUGGAACGUUGGCAUCCUUACCAUCCUUAGCAUCCUUAGUAAUCUUUGCAGGAGAAACACUGAUGAAAUCAAUUUCAUUAAAAUCAUCACCCAAAAUCCUUCUCACCACUGUAUCCUUCUCAAGCUCCGAAUUCUUCUUUGCAGGGGUCUCAGCUAACGCUGGACUUUUGACUGACUUCUGCUGUUUCUGCUGCGCCGGCACCGGACUUUUGACAGCCUUCUCCUUCCGCUGCGGCGGCACCGGACUUUUGACAGCCUUCUCUUUCUGCUGCGGCGGCUCUGGACUUUUGACAGGCUUUUUCUGCUGCCGCGGUUCUGUCACUGGAGUUUUUACAGACUUCUCCUCCUGGGCCUGCGGUUCUACCACUGGACUUUUGUCCGACUUUUCCGGUGGCGACCUCCUACGAGGUGAUGAUGUCACCGAUAAAGAUUUUUCUACGCCGGCGGAGGAGAGUUUAGCAUCGUUGUCGGGAAUUUUCCUUUCCCCCAAAACUUUCAGACUCUGCUGCACUACAGCUUUCACCACGUUAUCUAGGGUCUUCUCGUCCAUCACUGGCCGGUUCCGGUCAAAAUCGUAAGCGUCAAAUUUUGCUGAAAUAUUCUGCAGAGCACUCACAAGAUUCGUCAGAGUCGCUUUGUCCAAUACAGCUUCCUCCUCGCUAGAACCCUUUCUCGUUUCAGCAGCUUCUUUCUUCUGCUUCUUUGUUGAUGGCUCAGCUUCUGAUGAAACUCCCUUCGUUUUCUUCUUCUUCUUCUUCUCAUUCCCCUUCCCCUGCUCAUCCCUCUGUACUUCCCAGAAACCUUUCACGUAUCUACCUGCGUGUAUGUCUUCUACCAACCUAACGAGUUGUGGGUCGUCAGGUUCAUCCGACCAUACAGGAAACAUCUCUUCAAUUGACUCCUUCAUAACCAUUCUCCUCAAACGGACCUGCAACACCAGUUUAUCAUAAACUCAGCCAUCAAAUAACACAAAACCAAGCCAUCAAAUAAAUUAAUUCGGUCACAAUAUAAAAUAAACUCAGCCAUCAAAUAGACUAAUUCGGCAACAAUAUAAAAUAAACUCAACCAUUAAGUAGCUGUUAACUCAGUCGUAUAAGUAGCAGUUAAACAUUACCUCGCCAUGAUCUUUGAUUUCGUCAGACAAGACAGUAUCAAAACUUGAACGUGUACGCCUUCCACCCCAUCGCAAAAGAGGAACGUCUUCAUUGUUGACCACUCUCCCAAACUUCUCACCGAAACAGACGAUGGACUCAUACGCCCAAACCAAUAAAACGUCCUUCAUGCCGCUUACUGUGUAUGACUUUCCAUCUGGAGACAGUGUUUUCAGAGAGUCAACAAGAACUUCGUAUGCAGUCCGACCCCAUGGAUACGACCUCAUGGCUUCAUCGUCGAAUACCCUUAUUGCACUUUGAAAGGGUAUCCUUGAAUUGUGAUGCAAACAGUACAGUCCCAUGGCUUGAAGAAAUAACAUCCCCAACCACUUACGCUUUUCAAAACUCCAACCAGGACAGAACUCUAAUGCUGCCUUCAGCUCAUCAUACUUGGGUCCCAUCCCAAGCGGCACCUUCAACUCCUCCCAAAACUCUUUGUAUUGAUCAGGUUCAAAACUUUCUGUUGGCAAUGGACCUGUGUUUAACCCAGUGAUCUCACCAAACUCGAGCAAGCUAAACCUGAUAACAUCAUCAACCACAACAGACCAUAUCUCCUUUUUAUGCACUCGCAGCUGUCUACAUAGCAGAUAGUGUACGGUCCUACCAGACCAAAUGCUUUCGCGUGAAAGUAGCCUAGCAACUACUCCAAUGGGAGAGUUCACCAGUUCUUCCCACACAUCGAGUCCUAUUGUUUCUUUAAUGUGGGGGAAAUGUCCUGCACGGAAAUUAUGAUUGAUAUCUUUACCUUCUAGGUUAGAAGGGUAAAGUCUUGGAGGGUAAUCACGUGGUUCGACUUGACUAACAUCCAUCUGAUCAUAUAACACAACAAUAAAUCAGCCACAACAUAAAAAUAACACAGCCAUAUCAUAAUAUUAAAAUAUAUUAGGUCAUAUAUAUAACUCAGCCAUAACAUAAUAAUUACUCAGUUAUAACAUAACCAUAACUCAGCCAUAACAUAAUAAUUACUCAGUUAUAACAUAACCAUAACUCAGCCACAACAAAAAGCCCUAAUUCAGACACAACAAAAGCCUAGACAAUCACAUAUCUCAGCCGCAACAUAACCCUAACUCAGACACAACAAAAUCCUCGACAAACCCAUAGCACAGUCAACAUAACCCUAACUCAGUCGCAACAAAAACCUCGACACACCCAUAUCACAGCCUCAACCAAAACACAAACAAUCUCAGUCGCAAUAUAUAACUGACCCACAAACUCAACCAAAAUACAAUAUAUAACGUCGCGACAUCUUACCGGAAAAGAUGAACUCGUUGAUGAGAAUGCGGUGAAGGCGAUUUCGUACAGACGACGGUUUCUAAAAACUCCGACGAGACAGAGUUCAACGACAGAGAGUUAUAGAGAGUUCAACGACAGAGAGUUAGAGAGAGUUCGAGGAAGUAAAGAACAAUGUCGACGAGGGUUUCGAAGGGUGAGAGGAUUUCGGUUUGCGGUUCCUUCUUCGACACAACACAGUUCUUCGUGUUCUUUUCUUCUUCUUUUUUUGACAAAACCGUAUGUAUGAUAGUGAUAGUGAUAGAGACGGUUUGGUUUCAGAAAAUAACUGAUUUGAUGUGGAUUUUUAAUAACUGAUGUGGCUUUGAUCUUUAAAAUUAGUUUCAGAAAAUAAAACAUAACAAAAGCCCCUUAUUGUAAAUUACUAGGAAAGAGAAAACAUUCUAGUAAUAAAACAAAGAUGUACAACAUUCUAGUAAUAAACCAUAAAAUGUGUAACAUUCUAGUAAUUUUCUCUUGGGAAGGUUGUGUAGACUUUUUUAAACAGAUGGGAGUGUCUUUAUUUUUCUUGCUUAUAGAAUUACUUACACCUAAUAUAUUAGUUGUGAAGAUUUAUAAAAUUUGGAAAGCAGUUUCUUAAUGUUAAAGUGUGUUAAUCAUGUUGUAGCAAUCUAUAAUAUAUUUUUUUUCUAUAAGCAUUGGAAGAAUCGCAAAAAAUAGAGCAAAAAUCAACUAUUUAAAAACAACUAUUCUUCAGGUAAGCAUUUGUAAUUCGUUUUAAACGCGGCUACUCGUUCAGACUAAGCAUUCCUUUCAGGCUGAUUAACCGCCAAAGAUAAAUUAAUAUUCCAAAAACAGAGAUAAAAUAUUUGAGGAGAAGAGAAUCAUAAAAGAAAAAGAUCCGAAGUUUAUAAUUAGAAACAAAGCUAUUAGCAGUUUUAAAAAAACAUAGAUAUGACUGAUGACGGGCUGAUAGGAAUAGAUAUUACCAAUUACUCACGUAAUUUUAGGGUUAAUCGUUUGUAUAUAUUUUGUAAGUGAAGUUGUCAUGGUCUGUACUCUUUUUUAAAGGUACGACUUUUAAACAAUGGGAAUGACGAGUUUCUACUUUUCAAAAACGACAACUUAUCAAGUAACCAUUUAUAAAUUGUUCUAAAAAAAAGCGGCAAUCGUUCGUCUUAACCACUCCUUUUUUGAAGAUUAAACAGACGAAUUCCUUUAUUUGGAAUAAAAUUCUAAAUUUAAAAUAACACAUCACUGGCAAAUUUUCAAGAGAAAAAGACUAGAAUAGCACUAAACCAAGUUUAUAUUCACAAAGUACCACUCAAGGCUUAAAGUCACAAAAAUAGGUUUCAUUAAAGAGGUAAAUAUACACUUAUACCCCUUGGGUUAAUUAAUCCAAACCUUAGGGUUUAGAGUUAAGGGGUGGGGUUUUGGAAUUAGGGUUUAAAAUUUUAUAAAAAAAAAUACUAAAAUAAAAAAUAAAAAUUUUAAAAACAGUUUCAAAAAGUAUUUUUAAAUUAUAAAAAAAAAAUUUGAAAAAAAAAAUUAAAGAAAAAAUUUGAAAAAAAAAAUUAUAAAAAUUUCGAAUCUGAAAAUAUAUAAUCUGAAACUAUAAAAAAAAAUAUUUUUUUCAUUUUAUUUAUUUUUAUUUAUUUUUGUUUGUUUAUUUAAUUUUAAACCAAGGGUAUUAGGGAUAUUUUACCCUUUAAUGAAUGUCAUUUUUGUGACUUUUUCAUUCUAGUGCUAUUUUUGAGACAUAAACUUCAAAAGGUGCUAUUAUUGACAAUUGCCCAAUUUUCAAUGAGGUGGAACCCGUCAAAGAUUAAUUGAUCAUCCAAAGCGGAGAUAAAAUCCCCGAACAGAAGAAAACAUGCAAAGGAAAAACAUCCAGAGUUUAUAAUGGGAAACAAAGAUAGUAGAAGUUUUUUUAAAAAGGCAUAGAAAAGACAGUUGACGGGCUGAUACGAAUAGAUACUCCAACUACUCACGGGGGAGCUUGCGUUUGUUCUCAGCACCUGAAACCUCUGGAGGGUCUGCUGCAGUACAUUCCUCACCGAACUUGUCUCCCAAAACAGUAGGGCCCCGAAGACAAAGCUGCCAAUCCUACGUUCCCUUUGCUGCCUGGAAGAAUGUUCUCACCGUCCUGCUGAGACAAAUGAUCGCAGUUGAAUUCAAAUAAGAAGAAGAAAAAGAGUGGCCCGAGUUGAAAGCAUGUUUAUAUAAACGUCAAUGACAUUGGUUUUCUAUCAUGUAAGAUCAGAUCAUACAAAGUGUUGUAUUAUUAAUUUGUCUUAAAACGCUCAGACUUUCAUCUUUGUUUAUGAAAUUUCGUAAGAGAGAAUCAAUGGCAUUGGUCUUUGAAUAAAAAGUGUUAUAGAAUUUUGCUACCCGUUAGGUGAUAUUUUGUUCAAAGUCUAAAGCUAUACCAAGAUGCUUCACAACUUGAGAUUACAACAAAAUUUGAAAGAAAAGUGCUGUUCGUUUCAUUGACGCGGGUUCCUGCGGCUGCGGCUGCGGCUGAGUCUGCGGCUGCGGCUGCGGCCAUUUGUUUGGUUGUUGUUCGUUUUGUAGCCGCAGACUCAGCCGCAGCUGCAGGUCGUUUCGUAAACGCAGGACAUUGUCGCAGCUGCAGACGCAUAAAGUAGAUUUAGUUAUGUUCAUUUAGUUGCCACAGACGCAAUUUUCAUUUAUUUUAUAUUUUAAUUUUAUAAAUUUUUAAAAUUAUAUUUUAAGUAAAUAAAAUAUUAUAAAAUUGUAAAAUAUUGUAAAAUUUCAUAUUUUAAUUUUAUGAAUUUGUAAAAUUGUAAAAUUGUAGAUUUAACAACAUUUUUUUAUCAUAAACAAAAGCUAAAUAAUACAUCAAGUCUUAAAUAAAUAAAACAAAUAUUUCAAAUAUCACAUAGAACUGAUAAUCAAAGUUAUAAGCAAAAAAAAAAAGUCAAUAACUUGAGAAGAGCACUCAAAACUUCAUCAAGCUUCCUUUGGACCGUAUCCACUGAUCUUUGAUACCUUGCAGCAAUAUCCCGCUUCGUCUUAUCUUGACCAACAGUCUCAAGAAACAUCGCCACAGAUUCUUCAAGGUAGACAUGGUGAGUUUCUUUCAAUCCAUAUCGCUCAGCUAGCAUCUUGCACAAAGCUUCAGAAAAAAAAAGAGUCAUUAACUAAAACAUUUAAUACGGUAAACGACCUCUACCUUUAUAUGCUUCUGCAUUUUGACUUGGAGGGCGAACCAGCACAUGAGUUCCAUCGAGUGCUCCAACACAAUCUCUGAAAUGAGGCCAAUACCGAUCAUCAUUCCUCAAAACAGGACUCACUCUUCCAAACUCGCCUUCUUGUGGUCUUAAUGUAUCCUGUGCAAACUUGAGAAGAGCACUCAAAACUUCAUCAAGCUUCCUUUGGACCGUAUCCACUGAUCUUUGAUACCUUGCAGCAAUAUCCCGCUUCGUCUUAUCUUGACCAACAGUCUCGAGAAACAUCGCCACAGAUUCUUCAAGGUAGACAUGGUGAGUUUCUUUCAAUCCAUAUCGCUCAGCUAGCAUCUUGCACAAAGCUUCAAAAGUCCUUUGAUUCAUUCGAAGAAUGUCAUAACAUUGCUGAUCAGAUUCAUACAUAAGUUGUUGAACAUGUCGCCAUCCUGCUCCUCGAUCUGUUCUAUGACUCAAUCUCUCGGUAAUAGGCACAUCAAACAAACCAAGUUCAUCAUCAUAAUCACCAUCCUCAUCUUCCAAAAUCCAUCUUUCAAGCAUCUACAACACAAUAUUAAAUAAAUCAUCAUUAAAAUGGAUAGUAUUAUAAACAAACAAAACAGCCAUAAGCUCAAGUUCUAAUUAAUUAUUAUAGACCAAUCACACAGACCUAGUGUAAAACUACACACGGCAUAUAUAAUUAUUAUAGACCAAUCACACAAACACGGAGAAACGUAAUGAGUUUAUAAGACCAAGCACACAUAAUGAGUUUAUAAGACCAAACACACAUUAGACCAAACGUAAUGAGUUUAUUACCAGAUUUUUCAUGACAAACGUAAUGCAGUAACAAAAGGCAUUUCACAGACAUAAGAAAAGUAAACAUUUUGUUACCAGAUUCAAAACCAAGUCUACUAAACCAGCAUAUACAAAAGGCAGUUUCAUACAAAGAUCAGACCAAAAGCAAAAGUUCCAUACUAGUCCUAAGUUCCAUAAUAGUCCUAAGCUUCAUAGUCACGUUUUAUCUUGGUCCUAAGCUCUAGAAACUUAGUCUUAGCUUCAUCUGUCUUCAUUGUUAUAAAAGCCCUUCUGCUCCCUUCACUGUCUAUAAGAUGUUCCAUUGCUGCUUCAUAUAAUGGAGACCACUCUCUCACUCCAGGCAAUGUGUACAGAAUCUCUAACACAUUCUCAACACUAGAAGCUUCUUGACGCUCCAUUGAAGCUUCUUGACGCUCCAACAUCCGUUCUGCUAUCUUGUUCUUCACCAUAAGCGCUUCAGUACGUUUGUCACAAGCUUCUACAACCAUAUCCUUCUCCUUAUGCCUUCUUUUUCCUCUCGAACUUCCAGAAUGAGUCUGAGUUUGGCGCUGGGUUUGUGUCUGCAGCUGCGGCUGAGUUUCUGUCUCUGCUGCUGCUUGAGUUUCUGCUGCUGGCUGAGAAUCGACUUCAUCACCAUCAUCUAGACCCACUCCAGAGUUUAAGCUUGCUUCUCCAUGUUGAGCACUCCAUCCUUCUGCUCCAGUUACUACUACAGCACCAAAUUCUUCUUCAAACAUAUCCAUAUUAAAUUCUUCUUUCCAUACAGAUCUUCUAAUCCCAGGACACUCCUAUAUAACAAAAAAAAAUAAAGAGUAAGUUAAUGAGGAAUCAUGAAGCAAAUAUAAGCAAAUGAAGCAAUCAUGAAGCAAAUAUAAAAAAAAAAUACACAGAAGAGAUAAGAGAAACUGACCUUUUCGCGCUCACUCCACCAAUCAUCUGACAUAUCAACCCUUCCCAUGCUGUCAAACCCAAGACCUGUCUUAUUCUUAAUCAACUUCCUAAAUUUGACGUACUUCUUUCUACUUGUGUCGUACUUGUUCUUCAACAAAGGCCACUCAAGAAAUCCUUUCUUAAACCUCUUUUCGAACACGUCUAUGAUGUUCUGUUUCCCUACUUUAUUCAUUGAUGUCGUUCUAUUUCCUUUUCUUCUCUCUUCCGCGUAGAGUUCGAAAAAAUACCUAACUUCUUCAGGAGUCCAAGUCUAAAUCACAGAAACACAUAAACUCAAGUUCUAUACUGACCUAAAGACAGUUCAGUUCCAUACACUACUUAAGUUCUAUACUGACCUAAAGCAAUACAGUUUCAUACAUAUAACAAGAAAGACUAGUGUGAGAGAGCCUUACCUCUUUUGCCAUCUUAAAAAGUGAGAGGAAUGCACUUGAGAUGAGAGAGCCUGCAAAAAAGACAGACAAGCUCAGAUUGAUUAGUGAAACGUAUAAACACUAAUAGUCAGAACAUCAAAUAAACGCUAGCAAACGCUAAUACUUGUCGAUCACAACAGUGAAAAAAAAAACUAAAUGGGUUUGUAACUAAGAGAAACCGAGUAACCCAUCAGAGAAACCCAUCAGAGAUCGAAUACAAACCCAUAACACAAACCCAUCAGAGAUCUCAUACAAACCCAUAACACAAACCCAUAACACAAACCCAUAAAGGACAAACAAAGACAAGAAGAUGUACAAUUCUUACAAGAGAGAGAGAGCUGGGGAGGGAGAAGAGAGAGAGCUGGAGAGAAACAGGGACAGUCUGAGAAAAAAAAUCAAAAAUCAGUUCAAAAGUUCUAUUCUUUACUAAGCAAGUAAGAACAUUUCAAGUAAACAGAGAACUAAGGAAACAAAACUUACUAAAGAGGGUCUGAGCUUGAGAGAGUGAGCUUGAGAGGGUCUGAGCUUGGAGAGGGUUUGAACUUGAGAGACCUGCGACCUGCAAAAAAAAAAUAACAGACCUUUAGAAGCUGGCAAAGGACGUAUUGUGUAGUCACAGAACAUAACUAAUCAAUCAAAAACAUCAUACCUUGAGAGAGUGAGCUUGAGAGGGUCUGAGAGAGAGAGCUCGGAGAAGAGAGAGCUUGUGAGAGAGAGAGCUCCGAGAGAGAGCUCCGGGAAGAGAGAGCUCCGGGAAGAGAGAGCUUGUGAGAGAGAGAGCUCCUGUAAACAACAGAGCCCAUUCAAACAAAUACUCAAACAACAGAGUAAACUAAGACCAAACUCGUACAACAUCAAUCAAUACGCAGAGAUGGAAGUAAUGAAAUAAAGUAGAGAGUCUAAUCAUUUGGUGAAGAGAGACAGUUACCUCGGAGAAGAGAAGAGCUCCGGAAAGAGAGAGCUUGUGAGAGAGAGAGCUCCGGGAAGAGAGAGCUCGAAGAGAGAGCUCGGAUUUACACAAACCUAAGCAUCAACAAAGAAACCCAUAAAGUAUCAGCAUCAACAAAGAAACCCAUAAAGCAUAAGCAUCAUCAGCAUCUGUCGGUGAAGAGAGACAGUUACCUCGGAGAAGAGAAGAGCUCCGGGAAGAGAGAGCUUGUGAGAGAGAGAGCUCCGGGAAGAGAGAGCUUGUGAGAGAGAGAGCUCCGGGAAGAGAGAGCUUGUGAGAGAGAGAGAGAUCUCUGGGUUUUCCUCGGAGAUCGAGAGAGCGAGAUCUAUGGGUUUUUCGUCGGAGAUCGAGAGUGCUGGAGAUGCGUCGGAUCGAGAGAGAGCUGGAGAUGCAUCAGAUCGAGUGAGAGCUUCGAGGUCUGCUCAAGCAAGUUGCGUCGAUGAGAGAACAGAGCUGCGUCUGCGGCUAUUAGGGUUAGGUUCUUUGGUAAAUAAUGAAUUAUGUUAAGGGCAGAAAUGUAAUUAAGUUGAGUAGACGCAGAAUUUGAGCCGAGAUCGCUGAUUUUAUCUGCGUUCAGACGCAGAGGUCGCGUUCGGCCGCAGACGCUGACGCAGGCUCCCGCGGCGACGAAACGAACACGCGUUCAUGGAAAAUAUAGCCGUAGCCGCAAGACUCGCGGCGAUGAAACGAACAGCACUAAAGUAAAAUUUUACGUACGGUUCAAUUAAGAGGCAGACUACAACUCUGGUGGUUGCUGCAUUGUUCUUGAGAUCGGACCCCUGCACAGAGGGUAUUUCACCCACAACAUCUGCGAUUGGAGAACUAUGUUAGCGACAGGGUAUCAUGAUGAAAUUAAAAGGAGAAAGAAUUUUCACCUGCGAGCUCUAGGUUGGUGUUCGCAAGCACUUGGAGGUAGUCGUAAGCCGCACCAAGAAUUUGUCAAACUUGAUCAGAGGAGAAUCUGUCUGGACCUCACAAAUACGCAUUGAAGGGGUGAAACGGAUCACGUACUGACGCUUCAGAACGGUCCAGUUUCACAAUAGAAUCGGGUUUCAAAUUAGGCCGGUAGUGGCUCGCCCCAUUAGCUGGAAUGAACCCGUGAAUCACCAAGUCCUGCAGGAAAUAAAAGAAGAUCAACUAUUUGUUGGUUUUCAUAGAAACCGAAAGAUGUAUUCAUAAUUUUUUUUUUUUAAACGGAGACCAAGGGAGUAGAUUCGACACAAUUCGCACCAAUUCAUCGAGGAGGAAAAUCGUCAUCCCCAUGAACUCUCCAUUCUUGUUGAUGUUCCGGGAAUCCCAAAAGCGGAUGAGGCGGCCAACGACGGAGUCCAAAAGUGGAGUAGGUGACGGCUGCGUUAGCGACUGGAGCAGAUGAUGAAGCCAUUUUCGGAACAGAGAUUAGAGACAUAAACGAAGGGAAAAAGUGGAGCAGAAACGUUUAGAGGUAAAUGAGAGCUUACCUUCGAGGGCCUCUAUAUAAAUAAGGCUAGAGAAUCCGUUACAGGGAGAGGAAUCGAUACGCCGGUAGAGAACGUGGAGGAGUCGAAGAGAUCAAGUAACAGAAAGGAGCUUUCGAAAUAAUGGAGCGCCUCAGUAGACGAACAAUCCCGAAGAUGAAGAAGGUAGCCCUGAGAGUUAACGGGCCAGUUGUUCAAAAAAAAAAGUUAACGGGCCAGUGUUGCGAAGUCCAUCAAGAGAACAAAGAUUAUAAACUUUAAAUAAAAGUCCACGCGAGAUUAUAAACUUUCUGCGCCUCAUGUUGUGAAACCCAUAAACAAAUAGAACAAAGAUUAAACAGAAGCCCACACGAUUGAGGAAAUAAAAAAAAUAAUGUAGACCCCACAAAAACACUGAGGUGUCACUUCAGGAAAGACUCAACUCUCCUAUUAUAUUAUGAGUGUUUUACACUAUAGGACAGUUUCCAAGAUUUUAUUACAUCAUAAGGCAGUUUCAGCUACUAAGGUAGUUUAUUUUGGUUGUUUACCUUGAUGUCCUCAACUAAGACUAAACCAAAGUUACAUUUUCUAACCAGUGGGACCUAUCAUUUUCUCUCUCCUAACUUUCUUCUCCAUUAAUCUCGUUCUUUCUUUCUCUUCUAACAGAAAAUUGAUUUUAGAAACUCAUUCUUCAACCCCUCCAAAACAUAAAUCUUAGAUCUUUUGAUUUCUUUUUCAUCGGUUUUCUUCUCCUAACCUAGAUAAGUCAAUUAUAAAAAGAGUGAAAAAUCCAGCAAAUUAUGAGUCAUGCAGUUCCGCUAGAAUUUCCGUCCAAUCCUUAGAUUCUUAAAACCCAUUACCAUCUCUAAGGUGAAUCACAUAUUUGUCUCCUCUGCUUUUCAUGUCUCUGGUUCUUUUUUUGGUCAACUAUCUCUCUAGUUCUUUCUGAUUGAUGAAUCAUACUCCUUUCUUCCUAAGUAAUUAAAGGUGAUUCAUUUAUCUUAACUUCACAUAGCUAUUUCAAAAUUAACUAUUCGUUGAUUUGGAUAUUAAAACUUGUUUUUUCUGGGUUUUGGGUUCAUAACUGUGGCUUUCUGAUUGAUGAAUCAUGCUUUUUUCUUCCUAUGUAGAUUUAGUGUACAUGUAAACAUCAUAACUGUGGACAACAUAUGAAUUUCAUGUACAUGUGUACAACAUAGGUUAGUAGACACCGAAACAAAAUAACCCAAAAAUAUGUCCACAUAUAUGUAGAUUUGGUGUACAUGCAAACAUCAUAACCGUGGACAACAUGUACAUGUGUACAACCUACCUUCAUGGACACCGAAACCAAAAUUAUUUCUUUCUAUAUUUAGAAAACCAUUUAAAAUGUAGCUAUAUACUAAAGCACAUAUUUAAUUGAUGGAGUGUGAUGGAUACACUGAUACUAAAUAAGGUCAUGGGGUUGCGUGAUGUGUACAUAUGAGGCUAUACAACUUGGUUGUGUACACAAUCUGAGGUGUACAUGUGUACAUGUAAGUGAAUCAAAAGAAUAGUAGUUGUAUGUGAGAUAUGAACAAUACAUCAAUGUUUGUGGUAGAGUUUGUACACAUGUGGGUGAAAUGAUAAAUUUUUGUAGGAGAUGCUUUAUAAUUUGAGAAGUCUUUGUUUAUACAUGUAUCAAACUAUCAAUGUAUCAAGGUAUUUACAUGUGUGAAGCUAUACAUGUAUCAAGGUAUAUACAUGUACAUCACAAUUCAUUUCAAAACACUAGAGUGCAAUAUCCACAUGUCCACCAAGAUACCAUAUCCACAUGUACAUCAGAUUUCGAUGUCCACAUGUACACCAGAGUUCGAUAUCAGAUGACGAAGAAAAGUGGUUGAGAUGAUGAAUAAUGAUAGCUGAGAUGGUAGAGAACGGUGGGUGAAACACAACAGAUAACAAAGCAUAAUACCACACAUGAGGAAGGUGCAUGACGUUAAUUAUAUCUCCACCGUUGGAUGAUGGGUCUUCCACUCCACCAUCGUCUACGUUUACACUGUAGCUACGUAAAGUUGAUUAUGUCUCUAUCAAUGAUGUUGUUAUUAUAUAAUGCCAAUAUUACACCGUCAUCAAAAGAUACGUCUUGAUAUAUCUUAAAAGAUAGAUUAAGAAACAUAUACAAUAAUUAUAUUGCAAGUUUUUUUGAAAAAAUAAUACGAAGAAUCAGAUUUUAGUUUAGAAAAAAAUAGAAAGUUUGGAAGGAGAGGGAGAGAGAGAGAGGGAGAGAGGGAGAGAGAGAGAGAGAGAGAGAGAGAGAGAGAGAGAGAGAGAGAGAGAGAAAAUAAUAACAAAGUUAUUAUUUUAUUAUUUAGUUAGACUUUAGUUAGAUUUCAAUUGAUUCAUUAAUUGGAAAGAGUAAAAGGUGUGUUGGAAGAAGAAAAAGUGUCUAAGGAGCAUAAACUUUCUUAUAUUGUUAUUGAAAAUUUAAAACUGUCUUACGGUGUAAUUAUUUCUUAUAUUAUAGAUUUAAAGUUUUAAAAAUGUGAUCAUAUUUAAUUUGAGUUGAAGUUAAAAGUGGAUCAUAUGUUGUUUCAGUUUUCUUCAUUUACUCCAUAACACUGAUCAAAUGUUG